rnacentral:lncRNA from 1 species
AUGGCUGCAAUACCUAGCAAAACUUUUUAUGGCAGCUCCCGACCGAAAUAUGGACAUGGAAAAAUUUCCUUUUUGAGAGCUGAAGAAUUGCUCAGUGCGACUCUGACGUUGAAGAGCUAUCAGAUGGUGAAGAGAAUGAUCCUCUUGUGGGGGAGUUUGUUUCAUGUGGAGCAACUAAAAAGUAAUAAAAGUGCAUUUUUUGUAAACAAAAGUGCAGAUAAAAGUGUAAACAUGUUUACACCUCAUAUGUGGACUUUGGUUUUGACAUAUAUCUAGAGCACGUAGAAAGCAAAAAUUUAAUUUCAACUAAAAUGAGGUCCUACUAAUCCCAAAUAGUAAGGAGACAUAAAAAAUGCACAUCAAAUAAAAGUCGGGGUCUCUGGAGCAAUUUGGUCAAAAUGCCAAAGGACAUGCUAGUAAUCUCAGGUAUGCACAAGUAUUUACAGAUAACAUCAAUUAAGUAAUCAAUUUGAUAUUAUAGUUAUAGUUAUUAUAGUGGAUUUAUCCCACAAUAUGAAAGAGUCGGGUUAGAUAUUUCUUAUCAGUGCUGUUAUUGGAGGAAAUCUCCUAAAUUAAAGUUGUGUUCAGCUGAUGAAGACAGACACUGUACUGAGUUACUUCGGAUGUGAACAAUGUAAGCUCUCACAAACACACAAUGGGGAAUCAACCCUGGGCACAACUGGACUUUAUCAAGUGUCCUUAAAAGGAAUGGGAGCAUUGACCUCAUCCCUUCAGGGCAACUGACCUCAUGGUUACAUCUCAGUCCCCAAUAACCACACACAAUGAGGCUCUUUAUCUUCGUUUGCUCAAAGCAAAUUAGGACAAAAACAUUCCAGAGACACAUUACUGAGCAGUCUAACUUGCCAUUAACUGUGUUCUUGUUUUCAAAAUAUGAAGUUGCAGUAACAGUAAUUACAUCGACAAUUUGAAUGGUUGGUAACAGAGGUCUAAAAAUUGUGGUGCUGUUUAAAUCUCACACAUUCCAUAGUGACAGGCUGUUAAAAUCUUAAAAUAGCAAUCUGGAAAGCUUUCCACAACCAGGAUCUCAAAGGUCGAGAGGUCACAUUCAGACACUUAGACACAAAGGGAGUUCAAACAAUGAUAAGUAUGAUGACACACCAAACACUAAAUCAAACAAAUGCAUAAAAAAUCAACUGAGAUGAGAAGUUAUAAUUGCUUUCAAAAUAAAGUUAGUGUGUAGUGUGCUGUUUAUGCAUUGUGUGUCAGAAUAAUUGCAAGAGCUUGGGAAAUUCGUUGUACAUGUCAGCUGUUGAGAAAUAAUAAGAGCUGUUAUUCGCAGCAUGCAGCGGGACAAAAUGUAUGAAGGCCUUUCGGCUUACUGUAUAGACAGGGGAUUUUGUAGGAGCCACUGCUGUGGAUGCUACAAUGUUGUGUCUCAGAGAAUGACACAUACAGAAGACACAAUGCUGUCAUUGAC